rnacentral:rRNA from 1 species
AGAGUUUGAUCCUGGCUCAGGAUGAACGCUGGCGGCGUGCAUAAUACAUGCAAGUCGAACGCUUUGUCUUUAACUGAUAUGAAGAGCUUGCUCUGAUUUGAUUUUAUCUGACAAAGAGUGGCGAACGGGUGAGUAACACGUGGGUAACCUACCUCUUAGCAGGGGAUAACAUUUGGAAACAAGUGCUAAUACCGUAUAAUACCAACAACCGCAUGGUUGUUGGUUGAAAGAUGGUUCUGCUAUCACUAAGAGAUGGACCCGCGGUGCAUUAGCUAGUUGGUAAGGUAACGGCUUACCAAGGCAAUGAUGCAUAGCCGAGUUGAGAGACUGAUCGGCCACAAUGGGACUGAGACACGGCCCAUACUCCUACGGGAGGCAGCAGUAGGGAAUCUUCCACAAUGGGCGCAAGCCUGAUGGAGCAACGCCGCGUGUGUGAUGAAGGGUUUCGGCUCGUAAAACACUGUUAUAAGAGAAGAACGGCACUGAGAGUAACUGUUCAGUGUGUGACGGUAUCUUACCAGAAAGGAACGGCUAAAUACGUGCCAGCAGCCGCGGUAAUACGUAUGUUCCAAGCGUUAUCCGGAUUUAUUGGGCGUAAAGCGAGCGCAGACGGUUAUUUAAGUCUGAAGUGAAAGCCCUCAGCUCAACUGAGGAAUGGCUUUGGAAACUGGAUGACUUGAGUGCAGUAGAGGAAAGUGGGACUCCAUGUGUAGCGGUGAAAUGCGUAGAUAUAUGGAAGAACACCAGUGGCGAAGGCGGCUUUCUGGACUGUAACUGACGUUGAGGCUCGAAAGUGUGGGUAGCAAACAGGAUUAGAUACCCUGGUAGUCCACACCGUAAACGAUGA